rnacentral:rRNA from 1 species
CACAUGACAGUCGAACGAUGAACUGGAGCUUGCUCCAGGGAUUAGUGGCGAACGGGUGAGUAACACGUGAGUAACCUGCCCUUGACUCUGGGAUAAGCGCUAGAAAUGGCGUCUAAUACCGGAUACGAGCUUCAGCCGCAUGGCUAGGAGUUGGAAAGAAUUUUGGUCAAGGAUGGACUCGCGGCCUAUCAGCUAGUUGGUGAGGUAAUGGCUCACCAAGGCGACGACGGGUAGCCGGCCUGAGAGGGUGACCGGCCACACUGGGACUGAGACACGGCCCAGACUCCUACGGGAGGCAGCAGUGGGGAAUAUUGCACAAUGGGCGAAAGCCUGAUGCAGCAACGCCGCGUGAGGGAUGACGGCCUUCGGGUUGUAAACCUCUUUUAGUAGGGAAGAAGCGAAAGUGACGGUACCUGCAGAAAAAGCACCGGCUAACUACGUGCCAGCAGCCGCGGUAAUACGUAGGGUGCAAGCGUUGUCCGGAAUUAUUGGGCGUAAAGAGCUCGUAGGCGGUUUGUCGCGUCUGCUGUGAAAUCUGGGGGCUCAACCCCCAGCCUGCAGUGGGUACGGGCAGACUAGAGUGCGGUAGGGGAGAUUGGAAUUCCUGGUGUAGCGGUGGAAUGCGCAGAUAUCAGGAGGAACACCGAUGGCGAAGGCAGAUCUCUGGGCCGUAACUGACGCUGAGGAGCGAAAGCAUGGGGAGCGAACAGGAUUAGAUACCCUGGUAGUCCAUGCCGUAAACGUUGGGAACUAGAUGUGGGGGCCAUUCCACGGUCUCCGUGUCGCAGCUAACGCAUUAAGUUCCCCGCCUGGGGAGUACGGCCGCAAGGCUAAAACUCAAAGGAAUUGACGGGGGCCCGCACAAGCGGCGGAGCAUGCGGAUUAAUUCGAUGCAACGCGAAG